GCCUUCCAAAGUGCUGGGAUUACAGGCAUGAGCCACCAAGCGCAGCCAUGAUUUAUUAGAUCACUUCUAAAAGCCCUCUCUCCAUCUCCAAGCCAGCAAGUGCUUCUUUGCACCCCAGCUCUAAAACAAAGCCCUUGGGGACACAAUCAAAGACAGUAGUUGCCAAGAGGAAUAGGGAGCAUGGAAAGAAGGUGCUGGAUGUGCAUACAGCUAACCUGGUAACUCCAAACUGGAUGAGCUCAUUCCUUGAGACUGGAAUUACAAAAUUGGAACAGCUCACUAAUAAUUGAAGAUGAUUUGGGAAAACCAUUAUCCUUCCUCAGGGUAAAAUUAAACUGCGGGACAUAGCGCAGAAGACUUGUCACAAUUUAGGACCAACCUACCAAGACUUCUUGAUCUCUUUCCACUUCUUGCCCCUCACUGUGUUUGAUUUCUGCCUUCCAGUCUGAACUUCUCACUAUAUUCCAGAAAAGGCCUGUUAAAGAGAUCUGGUAGUCAAAAGCAACCUCUUUUUUGCUUGUGCUCUCUGUUAUACAUAAGAAACCAGUCCUGCUGCAGCUCCAUAUUUGCAUUACUAAUUUAAUCAGUUAGCGGGACACAUGCUCUUUAUAACCCAAAAAAUUGAAGCAUGAAAUUUGGGAGUCAUACCCAUCACCCAAAUGUGGCAUAACAAUGUUCUUCUUCCCCGCAAAGCAGUGUCCUUCCCCAAAGAAAUUCUGGGGAUUGGCAUUUUCUUCAUCCACUCCUUUCAUUAUUUCCUUUACCUAUUUCUCUGAGUCUAUUAGCAUCCUUGGAGGGGGGAAUGUAUCUUAUUUAUUGUUAUAUCUCCCAGGCUCACACAUCACUCAAUAAAGGUUUGUUGAAUGAAACAAUAAAUGGAUGCAAGACUAAAUGAACAAAGAAAAGCCACGGGGAAGAUAACAAUGUUAUGUCAUAAUUCAGGAUCAUCUUUUUCUGUUUUUUCCCCUCCAGCUUUAUUGAGGUAUAAUUGACAAAUAAAAAUUAUAUAUAUUCAAGGUGUCCAACAAGAUGUUUUGAUAUACAUAUACAUUGUGAAAUGAUUACCACAAUCAAACUAAUUAGCAUGUCCAUUACCUCACAUAAUUACCUUUUUUAUGUGUGCUGAGAAUACUUAAGAUUUGCUUUCUUAGCAAAUUUUAAGUAUACAAUACAUUAUGAUUAACUAUAGUCAUCAUACUUUACAGUAAGUCUCCAGAACUUACUUCAUCUGCAGGUUUGUACUCUGACCAACAUCAUCUUAUUUCACUCCCCACCCCACUUUCAGCACUGGUAACCACAUUUCUAUUCUAAGCCUUCUGGUGAAAUUUCUUUCUUAUUUCACUCCCAGUGAGUAACACAAGAGAAAAAUAAACAACAAAAGCCAGUCAAUAAUUAUAAAGUGAAUCUUACCAGUAUAGAGUUAUAAGCCUUGUUUUUACUUCACUGAUAAUGUUGUCGUGAACACUGUUUGAAUAAUGAAGACUAAAGGAAUGAUGGCAUGCACUGUGAGUUCUUGAUGUGGUUGAAGCAAAAUUCCCAACAAACAGACAUUUUGCUAUUUCAUUAGUGUUUAUGGCUGAUAAAUACCUUGUAUGUUUGCUAUACUAUUGUGUUAGUAACAUAAUUUUAUUUUUAUGUAACACUAACAAUAAAUAGAUAAAAGCAAAA
ensembl:lncRNA LINC02302 long intergenic non-protein coding RNA 2302